rnacentral:pre_miRNA from 1 species
AAUCUAGGAGGCAGGUGCUCACUUGUCCUCUUCCAUGCUUAGAAGAUACAGGGAGGAGGCCAUAGUGGCAACUGUCACCAUGAUU